rnacentral:misc_RNA from 1 species
AGCGAGGAAAAAAAUAUCAAUUGUUCAAUAAUGGGGGAAAAAAAAGUCAUUGUAAUCUCGAGUAUAUUUUCCCUAAUACAGUUGUUGGCCAAAUAGAAAAUCAUAGAGAAAAUUGACUCCAAAUCAGUAACAAACAAUAGGCUGUUUUCUUCUCAUAUGCUGUGUCAAGUAAUCUAGGGAAAACCUCCAAUCACGUUCCAACACUACUUGAGUUCACUCUUUC